UACGAAGGGGGCUAGCGUUGCUCGGAAUUACUGGGCGUAAAGCGCACGUAGGCGGAUUGUUAAGUCGGGGGUGAAAUCCUGGAGCUCAACUCCAGAACUGCCUUCGAAACUGGCGAUCUUGAGUCCGGAAGAGGUGAGUGGAACUCCUAGUGUAGAGGUGGAAUUCGUAGAUAUUAGGAAGAACACCAGUGGCGAAGGCGGCUCACUGGUCCGGUACUGACGCUGAGGUGCGAAAGCGUGGGGAGCAAACAGG
rnacentral:rRNA from 1 species